CACGCGGUGCGGUUACGGUUGCGGUUGGGAUUUGAUAACCGCGGAUUACCCGCACCGUAGGACAUAUAGGGAAUUUAGUAAAUGUAUUAAGGACAAUAUGGGAAGUUGGAGUUUGAUAUAUAAACAUCUUUAGCUUUCGGUGAAACCUAAUAGCAUCAGUUUUUUUCGAGAGGAAAAGAGACCUAAUAGUCUCAGAGGAAGAGACCUUCGAUUCUUCUUCUUCUCUGAGUAAAUUAGUUCUCUUAUUCAUCUUCUUCUCAUCACAGAUUCACAGUAAAUAUCCUUCGAUUCAUCUUCUUCUCAUCACAGUAAAUUAGUUCUCUCAUUCAUUCUUCUUCUCUGAGCAGCAUCAGCAUCAGUAACUGUAGAUCCACGGAUUGGAGAGAAGAAUCUUCAGGAGAACAAUAUUUAAAAUUCUUGGGUAGGUGGUGAAGCUUGUAUUAUCAGUGCUACAAUUGUUUGGGAGAAUCUGAGAGCAGAUGGCUUCAAGUACUAAGGGACCUUCUAUUCCUGUUGACGAUCCUGAUGAGAGCAUGGCUACAGUUAACCCGGCAACCGUCGAGAGCAUAUCUACAGCUACACCAUCAUCUCUGGUUGAAGUUUCAAAGCCUCCGAAACUCUGGCUUGUUGUUCCUCAAUGUCGAUUGGGUUUGCGGUCUAGUUGUGAUCAGCCCUUUUAAAUGAUGCGGCAGAAAUCUUGCAGGAAAUUCCAGACAUAUCUAUCACGGAUUGAAUCCAAGGUCUCUUUUUCAGUUUUUGGCAUCAGAGAUUCAUAUGGCUUGGCACCAGACUUGUUGCAUUUGAAUUACUACUCUUUUGUGUUAGCUGUUAACUAUCUUAUGUCUAUUGUUGCUUUUGAAUUACUGAAUUAUAACUCUUUUGUGUUAAAAAAACGUCUGCACUCUAGUUUGUAACUUUCUAGUUUCUAUACUUAGUUUUUUU